ACGAACGCUGGCGGCAUGCCUAACACAUGCAAGUCGCACGAGACCUUCGGGUCUAGUGGUGCACGGGUGCGUAACGCGUGGGAACCUGCCCUUAGGUUCGGAAUAACUCCCCGAAAGGGGUGCUAAUACCGGAUAAUGUCUUCGGACCAAAGAUUUAUCGCCUUUGGAUGGGCCCGCGUUGGAUUAGCUAGUUGGUAGGGUAAAAGCCUACCAAGGCGACGAUCCAUAGCUGGUCUGAGAGGAUGAUCAGCCACACUGGGACUGAGACACGGCCCAGACUCCUACAGGAGGCAGCAGUGGGGAAUAUUGGACAAUGGGCGAAAGCCUGAUCCAGCAAUGCCGCGUGAGUGAUGAAGGCCUUAGGGUUGUAAAGCUCUUUUACCCGGGAUGAUAAUGACAGUACCGGGAGAAUAAGCUCCGGCUAACUCCGUG
rnacentral:rRNA from 1 species